AAGCAGUUCAGCAAGCAGCAGAAGAAAAAAGCUGCCACUAAUGAGCACUGGAUUCUAAUAUACAGCAAGGCAAGGAAGCCCCGUGGCAAACGGGAGUUUGCCAAUUAAUAGACAACAGUUUUUGGCAACCCAGACCGGACAGCUGUGAAGCCUUGCCCAGAUGGUCUUGCCAGCUGCCGGUGGGGAGAAGUUGCUCUUCGCACUCCAAGCAUGCACUGACCUGUUGUUCAGAGGACUCCGUGAGUAAUCUCCCCAUCCGGAGGGGCUUUAGAUACUGAGCAUGACGUCAUAUGGUAUGGAAUACCCCGUUGGUCAGUUUGGGUCAGCUGUCCUGGCUGCGUCCCCUCCAAGCUUCUUGUGUACCCAGCCAAGCAUGGGGAGCUGAAAAAGUCCUUGGCCAGUGUAAGUGCUACUUAGCAGGAACUAAAACAUCUCCACAUUAUCACCACUGUUUCCAGCAAAACUCCAAAACAUAGCCCCAUACUAGCUACUAUGAAGAAAUUUAACUCUAUCCCAGCUGAAACGAGGACACCUCUCUCUCAAGUGACCUGGAAGAAGAAUUAUUUCGUAUGGGGCCCUGAGCAACAAGCCUUUGAACAGUUUAAACAGGAGAUAGUUCAUGCAUCAGAGAGUGUGAGAGAGAGAUAGAGUGGUGGGCCACACCCUAUCAUCCCCAGGGCCAAGUCAGCAGAUGGAGGCUCCACAAGAAGCUCCACAAGAAGCAGAGAAUUCCCUACCCUCUUGCCACCUAGCAGAAGGAGGGAACCUAAGAGAUGUGGGGGAAUGGAAACAGGUCCCUGCUCGGGGUGGCAGGCAAAUCCCCUCUCGGCCUCCCUCACCUUCCCAGCUGCCCUUACACAACAGAUAUGGGGCUCUGGAACUUGUGGGUCAGGCAAACGAGGAUGUAGGUGAAGGUUCAUCUGGGGGGUUGCCUAGGGAGAAUUGGUCAUCCCCACACAUUAUGACUGCCUCUGUUAAGAAGAAAAGGAGGGUAAUCAUUGUAGGCGAUUCCCUUCUGAGGGGGACAGAGGGCCCAAUAUGCUGACCAGACCCAUCCCACAGGGAAGUCUGCUGCCUCCCUGGGGCUCUGGUCAGACAUGUUACUAGGAAACUCCCUGGUCUGGUCUGGCCCUCUGAUAACUACCUGCUAUCAGUUGUGCAGCUGGGCAGUGAUGAGGUUGCAGAGAGAAGUCCAAGAGCAAUCAAAAGGGACUUCAGGGCACUGGGGUGACUGGUUGAAGGAUCAGGAGCGCAGGUAGUGUUUUCCUCAAUCCUGUCAGUGGCAGGGAAGAGCAAUACUGAAAGGAAGAGGAAAACUCAACUGAUUGAUUAACACAUGGCUCAGAGGCUGGUGCCAUCAGUGGAAAUUUGUUUUUUUUUGAUCAUGGGGAGGUUUACAUGGCACCGGGCCUGCUGGCAACAGCUAGAGUUCACCUAUCUCAAAGGGGGAAAAGGAUUCUUGCAAAUGAGUUGGCGAGGCUCAUCAAGAGGGCUUCAAACUAGAUUCAGAGGGUGAAGGGGAUGUAGCCAGGUUCACCAGUGAGGAGGCUAGGGGUGGCAUGCCAGGGUUGCGGGUGAAACUGAUAGCCCAGCUCAAGUGCAUCUACACCAAUGCACACAGCAUGGGCAACAAACAGGAGGAGCUGGAAGCCAUCGUGCAGCAGGAUAGCUAUAACUUAGUCACCAUCAGAGAGACAUGGUGGAAUGACUCUUAUGACCGGAGUCCUGCAAUGAAUGGCUAUAAGCUCUUCAGAAGGGAUAGGCAAGGAAGGAGAGGUGGUGGGGUGGCUCUGUAUGUUAGGAAGUGCUUCAAUUGCAUAGAGUUUAGCAAUUGUGAUAAUAAGGUUGAGUGCUUAUGGGUAAGGAUGAGAGGGAAGGCCAACAAGGCAGAUAUCCUGGUGGGAGUCUGUUAUAGACCACCCAACCAGGAUGAGGAGACAGAUGAAGUACUCUACAAGCAGUUGGCUGAAGUCUCAUAAUCUCUAGCCCUCGUUUUAGUGGGGGACUUCAAUUUACCAGUCUAGGAGAAUCCUGGAGUGUGUGGAAGAUAACUUCCUGACACAACUGGUAAGUGAAGCCUACCAGGGGAGGUGCCUCACUUGACCUCCUGUUUACAAACAAAGAAGGACUGGUGGGAGAUGUGGUGGUCGGAGGACAUCUUGGGCUUAGCAACCAUGAUAUGACUGAGUUCUCAAUUCUUGGUGAAGUAAGUAGGGGGGUCAGCAGAUCCACUACCAUGGACUUCCGGAGGGCAGACUUUGGCCUGUUCAAGGCAGUGGUUGGGAGAGUCCCUUGGGAGGCAGUCCUGAAGGGCAAAGGAGUCCAGGAUGGCUGGGCUUUCUUCAUGAUGGAAGUCUCAAAGGUGCAGGAGCAGGCUGUCCCCAAGUGCCGCAAGACAAACCGGCGGGGUAGACGACCAGCCUGGCUGAACAGGGAGCUUUUCCUGGCAUUCAGGAAAAAAAAGAGAGUCUACUGCUUUUGGAAGAAGGGGCAGGCAACUCAAGAAGCAUACAGAGACCUCAUUAGGUCUUGCAGAGGGAAAAUUAGAGAAGCAAAGUCCCAGCUAGAACUCAACCUGGCCACUGUUGUAAGGGAUAACAAAAGAUGUUUUUACAAAUAUAUUAACAACAAAAAGAGAACCAAAUAAAAUCUCCAUCAUCUAUUGGAUGUGGAGGGGAACAUUGCAACUAAGGAUGAGGAAAAGCCUGACGUACUAAAUGCCUUCUUUGUCUCAGUCUUUAACCAUCAGACCAGUUAUCGCCAGGGUAUUCAGCCCCCUGAGCUGGAAGGCAGGGACGGAUCGCAGAAUAAACCCCCCCCAUAAUCCAGGAGGAAGCAGUUUACGACCCGCUGAGCCACCUGGACACUCACAAGUCUAUGGGGCCAGAUGGGAUCCACCUGAGAGUACUGAGGGAGCUGACAGAGGAGCUUGCCAAGCCACUCUCCAUCAUUUACCAUCAGUCCUGGUUAACAGGGGAGGUCCCAGAUGACUGGAAACUUGCCGAUGUGAUGCCCAUCUACAAGAAGGGCCGGAAGGGGGAUCCAGGGAACUACAGGCCCAUCAGCCUGACCUUGGUACCGGGGAAGGUUAUGGAGCAGUUAAUCUUGAUGUUAAGAGAUAGUAGACUUAGAAUAGGUAUUUAGAAUAAGAAAAAUAUAAAAGACUAUUCAGUAUUGUUAUACCAGUUUAGAAUAAGAAAUAGAUAAAUGAAUGUAGUCAAUAUUGUUAUACUCUUGUGUUAUCACAGGUGUAUAACUUUUCUUUUCAGUCCAUGCAGUGUACUGCUCAUUCUGUCCCCUGUAUAGCCCCAACCAUGGCUGGAUUAAUCACCAGCAGAGCUAAUCAGUAGAAAGAAUAAAUACAGAAAACCAGAGUUAAACAUGAAGAUUAAGUGCUGAUUGUAAUACCUCUGUUAACUAAAUAUAAGUAUAUAGAUGAUGAAUAAGUAGAAAAAUGUAACGGUUGGAAGGUUAACUUCUAUGAAAUCAGGAAACUUAAACAAGACAUCGGGCGGACAUUCUAAGAAGGAGAUCAAAGGCCUAACAGUGGACCAAUAAGGCUCGUGACCAGAAGCAGAACCGAGACGGGGACGACAAGAACUUGCUGAAGGUGGAAAAAGAAGACCUUUUAACUGGCCAGAAAAAUGAAGAAUUGAGAACACAGUGGAAAAUUACGAUGGGCUUUGACAAUGACAUAAUUAUCAGGGAAGCCUAUAUAACCUGAAGGCUGUGUCUUGUUAGUUGCCACACACUGAGGUGGUGGCCCAACUCUGAGUUGUGAUUAAUAAAGCAAACCUAGUGAUA